GACGAACGCUGGCGGCGUGCCUAAUACAUGCAAGUCGAACGAGAGCGACCGGUGCUUGCACUGGUCAAUCUAGUGGCGAACGGGUGAGUAACACGUGGGUAACCUGCUCAUCAGAGGGGGAUAACAUCCGGAAACGGAUGCUAAAACCGCAUAGGUCUUCGAGCCGCAUGGCUUGAAGAGGAAAAGAGGCGCAAGCUUCUGCUGAUGGAUGGACCCGCGGUGCAUUAGCUAGUUGGUGAGGUAACGGCUCACCAAGGCCGUGAUGCAUAGCCGACCUGAGAGGGUGAUCGGCCACAUUGGGACUGAGACACGGCCCAAACUCCUACGGGAGGCAGCAGUAGGGAAUCUUCCGCAAUGGACGCAAGUCUGACGGAGCAACGCCGCGUGAGUGAAGAAGGUUCUCGGAUCGUAAAACUCUGUUGUUAGAGAAGAACAAGUGCUAGAGUAACUGUUAGCGCCUUGACGGUAUCUAACCAGAAAGCCACGGCUAACUACGUG
rnacentral:rRNA from 1 species